UUCAGCGCGACCGCAAUGCAUGAUGGGAUAUAUAUUGCUUGGUUAGUGACUAUCGGUUGUACGCUACUUUUCGUGAUGCAUCGUUUCGGAUAGCACUACAAAAUGGCGCCUUCACUAUAUAGUGCACUACAUAGUGAGUAGGGCGCGAUUUCGGACACAGGGUUCGGUGUUUUCGAAGGGGGCGGAUUAUGGCACCGCACAAGCCCGGCUCGGAUCCCUACAGAUCCGCAAAAACACACGCGCAUCCGGUACACGCCAGCGGCCUGGCCAUGAGUGCUGCCAAGAGACCCAAAAUGGAGCAGCUCCAAGCCGACCACGAGCUCUUCCUGCAGGCUUUCGAGAAGCCAACUCAGAUAUACAGAUUCCUUCGAACAAGGAACCUCAUGGCUCCCAUUUUUCUGCACAGGACUCUGACGUAUAUGUCCCACCGCAACUCCCGAGCCAGUGGCAAAAGAAAACAUUUCAGCUUGGACGAUCUGCUCUGCAAAGUGGCGAGGAUGAAAACUGAUCAGGAGGCACACAAUUUGACGUCACACCUGCAGCUCACUUUCACUGGCUUCUUCCAUAAAGUUGAUAAGACGCAGAACUGUGAAAACGAGGAGAGCUCUGUGUCGCUGGAAGUGUUGCUCAUCAAAGUGUGUCAUAAGAAGAGGAAGGAUGUGAGUUGUCCCAUAAAACAGGUGCCGACAGGGAAGAAGCAGGUGCCGUUGAACCCGCGACUGAAGACUGGAACUUGGCCGACCAUCACGGUGCACAGUCAGGAGUUUGAGCCUAGUAACAGCCACAUGGUGAAGUCUUACUCGCUGCUUUUCAGAGUCACGUGUCCUGCAGGGAGGGAGAUCAGCACCCGAGACAACAACAUUACUGACGAGAUACCCAGCAGGAAGAAGCGUUACUCCUCCCACCGAGAUGACGGAGAGACCACGUUUGUAGCGCAGAUGACAGUGUUUGAUAAGAACAGGCGUCUGCAGCUGCUGGAUGGUGAAUACGAAGUGUCGAUGCAAGAGAUGGAGGAGUGUCCCGUCGGCAAGAAACGAGCCACGUGGGAAACCAUCGUGGAUGGGAAGUGGGUCCCUCCGUUCGACACGUUCUCUCACGGCCCGACUCUGCAGUUCACGCUCCGCUGGACAGGCCAGGAAAGUGACAUCGCCACGCCGCCGAUGACCCGACCUCUCGCUACGCGCAACACGCACACGAGUGGCAGCGAGAACCAGAGGACUACCACACCUAAACCGUCACAAACAGUAGCUGUUAAAGAUCCUGUAAGCUCAGAUGCACUCUUGCGGAAAGAGCAGCUUCAUGUCGAGCCUCGGCAGAAACUCCGCGUUUAUUAUCAGUUUUUGUAUAACAAUAACACACGACAGCAGACGGAGGCUCGAGACGACCUGCACUGUCCCUGGUGUACGCUGAACUGCCGUAAACUUUACAGCCUCCUCAAACACCUCAAACUGUCUCACAGCCGUUUCAUCUUCAACUAUGUGCCUCACCCGAAAGGAGCUCGGAUAGAUGUGUCCGUGAACGAGUGUUACGAUGGAUCCUAUGUCGGAAAUCCUCACGACCUGCACUGCCAGCCCGGCUUCGCCUUCAGUCGCAACGGCCCUGUUAAACGCACCUGCGUCACGCACAUCCUUGUCUGCAGGCCCAGACGCACUAAGCCGAGUCUCUCCGAGUUCCUGGAGUGUGACGAGGUGCCGCUGGAGCAGAGGAGGCCGUUAGUGAGCGGUCAUAACCGCCUGUACUUCCACAGUGACAGCUGCAUGCCACUGCGUCCUCACGAGAUGGACGAGGACAGCGAGGACGAGAAAGACCCCGAGUGGCUGAGGGAGAAAACGGUCAUGCAAAUUGAUGAGUUUACUGAUGUCAACGAAGGAGAAAAGGAGGUGAUGAAACUGUGGAACCUUCAUGUAAUGAAACAUGGAUUUAUAGCUGAUAAUCAGAUGACUCAGGCCUGCAUGCUGUUUGUGGAGAACUACGGCUCGAUCGUUGCGGAGAAGAACCUGUGCCGGAACUUCCUGCUGCAUUUGGUCAGCAUGCACGACUUUGGCCUGGUGAGCACACUGAACAUCGACCGGGCCAUGUCUCGCCUGCGCCAGUUUAAACCGCCCCGGAAUAACGAGAACGCUGAACCCGCGAAGGAACACGCCUGAAACUCAGCAGGACAGAAACUUUCGAACCUUUCCCAGACGACAGGAGCUGCCAGACCUCUGGAUCCCGGAUCAUUCAUUUUAACCACAAAUCGGCUGAGUCAUUGGAGAUGAUGAACUACGUUGUGCUUUGAAAUAAACGUUACAUCUUCAAGCCAAUAGCCAGGUUGAUCAACUAAAUCAAGAGACUGGAAGAUUCCUACCACUGCCAUCUGAUGGGCAGAGUAUGCCCAGAACUCCUUAACCCACUCCUCCACAGAAAAUGCUGGUUGAUGGACAUUUCACAUCCUCAACUACAAUUGGGCUAGAUGGAACCGGUAUCCACCCAAGACCUGAGGCUAGAACUACCAUCCCAAGAGGGAAAUCCUCUGUUCCUUUCAAAAUAAUCCAGCAAGUUAAAACAGUUUCAUGUAAACUUGAAGUACCACCCACUUAUCAAAGAGUUCCCACUUUUCAUGCAUCACAACCUCAAACCUGUGGUCUCUUCUGCCCAAACCCAGGUAACAAGCGCUGAGCCACGUUCUUUCUUCAUUGGAGAUCGAUGGAGCACCCACUUAGUGUCCACAUACUUCAAGCAAUGGGGCAAAACCUUAUUCUACCUAGUGGACCGGGAGGGCUUUGACCCAGCAGAGGACAUUCUUUACCACUCUCUGAUCAACAAUCCCAGACCCCAUGGCCCGGUCACAUAGGUUGUAUGGCUUUUGGAUGCUGCCCAUCAGAAGGGAAGCUUCUGGCACAUCUAUUCAGGACAUUUUACUACUACACCACCAGAGGACAAACUUUUUUUUUUUAAAGACUUUGAAGAAUUAUUCCUUGGUUGUUGCAUUCACUUCCUGUCUCCCUUAAUCAGUUUCCUGUGCAAAGCCUUGCCAAUUAAUUGCACUUGUGUAAGUUCGGAGCUGUUUGGUUGUGAAGUUUUGGAUACUUUAACGUUUUUUGGAAGCAGCCUCCAGUAUCAACACUUACAGUAAUGGUCAAAAGGCACUUUUGAACUGCAGAAACUUUCAUAUUGUUCUUAGAACCGUUGGACCACGAGCUGGCCUAGUGGUGAGCGUGUCCGCCUCUCAACCGAGAAAUCAUGAGUUCUACUUGCGGUCGGGUCAUACCAAAGACCGUCAUAAAAAUGGUACCUACUACCGUCUAGCAAGGCACGCUGCAAUACAGAUGCGAGUGGGGAAGUCAAACUCUCAUGGUUACCAGAGGACUAGCCCCCCACUGUAACCCUAGCUGUAUAGGCUGAGAGGCCAAGGGCUAUCAAAACGAAGAUCGGCGCCGCACCCAUACGCCUUAAAGAGUUGGUUAGCAUUGGGACAGGAGACUGCCUGGGAAGGCCAGAUUAUGGUGUGAAAGGGUCUUUGACUUUAGAACUGUUUGAGGAAGUACCUCCUUUUUUGUGUGUCUGUACUGCAGGAACUGAGAAUGAUCAUAGUUCUUAGAACGCUGUUUUGAGGGACUUAUUUAGCUCCUACUUCAGGGUAGGUACUCUCCCAGCACAAGAAGAACCAUGAGUGAAGUAAGUGCAUGGUGACUGUUCCAGACAAAGGUGGAUGGUGAUUGACUCAUGUGCUUAACCAAUGCAGCACCGACAGCCACCAUUUUUAAAGGAAAUGCAAUUUUGAUGUGUCAAAGUGACAUAUAAAAAUCUUAAUAGAACUAAAUGUGCUCUUCCAUGGGUAUUUUUUAGCUAUCAAGUAAGAAAACCUGUUAUAAAAUAAUAAUAAUAAUAAUCCACACCAACAUAUUUUGAGCAAUCUCUAACUAUUUUCCACCAUGAAACGAACCCCAUUCGACAGAACAGGACGUUACAUCUUCAGGAAGGAGAACUUUGUGGUUUACAUGCAACAUGGCAAACUGCUUUUUUGUCUCAUGAAAUUAAAAAAAAAAAAUCGUGGCUGGUGAAGGUAUGACUAUUUAUAGCUGCUAUAACAAAUUAUAACAGGAAGUAACUUGUUUCGAGAUUUAACACAUUCUCACACCACUCUAAUUGUUUUUCUAUAACAGCAUACUCGGUCAUAGUUUAUUCCUUACAUACUGUCUACUUAACAUUAAUUCUCAAAAUUGUUAGAUGGGACUGGCUAGAAUACACAGACUCAUGAGCUCACCAUAAGAAAGCAGGAGUUUUAAAACUCUCAUAUCAGUAGAAAAGCAGGAAAAAAGAACCGUAGUAACCGAACACUGACUCAGUAGGCAGGGGCUAGCGAAAGGAACUGGCUCAUACAAACAUUAAUUUCUUCAUUGUUAUUGAUUUUAUCA